GACGAACGCUGGCGGCGUGCUUAACACAUGCAAGUCGAACGGAAAGGCCCUGCUUUUGUGGGGUGCUCGAGUGGCGAACGGGUGAGUAACACGUGAGUAACCUGCCCUUGACUUUGGGAUAACUUCAGGAAACUGGGGCUAAUACCGGAUAGGAGCUCCUGCUGCAUGGUGGGGGUUGGAAAGUUUCGGCGGUUGGGGAUGGACUCGCGGCUUAUCAGCUUGUUGGUGGGGUAGUGGCUUACCAAGGCUUUGACGGGUAGCCGGCCUGAGAGCGUGACCGGCCACCUUGGGCCUGAGGUACGGACCAGACGCGUACGGGAGGCAGCGGGGGAGAGUAUUACACAGUGGGCGGAAGCCUGAUGCAGCAACGCCGCGUGCGGGAUGACGGCCUUCGGGUUGUAAACCGCUUUCGCCUGUGACGAAGCGUGAGUGACGGUAAUGGGUAAAGAAGCACCGGCUAACUACGUG
rnacentral:rRNA from 1 species